GGUGGGGGGGGGGGGGGGGUUAGAUUUUUUUUAGGUUUUUUUAACUAUUUUAUGUUGUGUUCACAUUGUUUCUCAAGGUUCUCACAAUAAGGGUGGUUCUCGCAUGAGCCCCUCCCUAUGUAUGUAUGUAUGUAUGUAUGUAUGUAUGUAUGUAUGUAUGUAUGUAUGUAUGUAUGUAUGUAUGUAUGUAUGUAUGUAUGUAUGUAUGUAUGUAUGUAUGUAUGUAUGUAUGUAUGUAUGUAUGUAUGUAUGUAUGUAUGUAUGUAUGUAUGUAUGUAUGUAUGUAUGUAUGUAUGUAUGUAUGUAUGUAUGUAUGUGUGUGUGUGUGUGUGAGGAGAGAGAAAUUGAGGCCCGUGAAGAUCGUCGAGUGGGAGCCGAUGUUGACGCGCCGGAGGAGUGGGGGACCGGCGACGGGCCAGGACGGGUCUAAGCCGGCCACCAUACCGUCUGGUCUAAGAAGGUUUAAUUUUAACCACUAGAAUCGGUCCUGUUUAUCAAAUGCUUUACGCUGGUGGAUCUUUUCAUUUGCCACAAAGCGCAAGUCAUUAAAAAGUUAGAUGGUUGUGACUUUUUAAAAAAGGAGAAGCAAUCCCAAACACC